CGGGACGGGGUGAGUAAUGUCUGGGAAACUGCCUGAUGGAGGGGGAUAACUACUGGAAACGGUAGCUAAUACCGCAUAACGUCGCAAGACCAAAGAGGGGGACCUUCGGGCCUCUUGCCAUCGGAUGUGCCCAGAUGGGAUAGCUAGUAGGUGGGGUAACGGCUCACCUAGGCGACGAUCCCUAGCUGGUCUGAGAGGAUGCCAGCCACACUGGAACUGAGACACGGUCCAG
rnacentral:rRNA from 1 species